AUUGAACGCUGGCGGCAUGCCUUACACAUGCAAGUCGAACGGCAGCACGGGAGCUUGCUCCUGGUGGCGAGUGGCGAACGGGUGAGUAAUAUAUCGGAACGUACCCUAGAGUGGGGAUAACGCAGCGAAAGUUGCGCUAAUACCGCAUACGAUCUACGGAUGAAAGUGGGGGAUCGCAAGACCUCAUGCUCAUGGAGCGGCCGAUAUCUGAUUAGCUAGUUGGUGGGGUAAAGGCCUACCAAGGCAUCGAUCAGUAGCUGGUCUGAGAGGACGACCAGCCACACUGGAACUGAGACACGGUCCAGACUCCUACGGGAGGCAGCAGUGGGGAAUUUUGGACAAUGGGGGCAACCCUGAUCCAGCAAUGCCGCGUGAGUGAAGAAGGCCUU
rnacentral:rRNA from 1 species